rnacentral:rRNA from 1 species
AUUGAACGCUGGCGGCAGGCCUAACACAUGCAAGUCGAGCGGAUGAAGGGUGCUUGCUCCUGGAUUCAGCGGCGGACGGGUGAGUAAUGCCUAGGAAUCUGCCUGGUAGUGGGGGAUAACGUCCGGAAACGGGCGCUAAUACCGCAUACGUCCUGAGGGAGAAAGUGGGGGAUCUUCGGACCUCACGCUCUCAGAUGAGUCUAGGUCGGAUUAGCUAGUUGGUGGGGUAAAGGGCUACCAAGGCGACGAUCCGUAACUGGUCUGAGAGGAUGAUCAGUCACACUGGAACUGAGACACGGUCCAGACUCCUACGGGAGGCAGCAGUGGGGAAUAUUGGACAAUGGGCGAAAGCCUGAUCCAGCCAUGCCGCGUGUGUGAAGAAGGUCUUCGGAUUGUAAAGCACUUUAAGUUGGGAGGAAGGGCAGUAAGUUAAUACCUUGCUGGUUUGACGUUACCAACAGAAUAAGCACCGGCUAACUACGUG